CCUACGGGAGGCAGCAGUGGGGAAUCUUGCGCAAUGGGCGAAAGCCUGACGCAGCCAUGCCGCGUGAAUGAUGAAGGUCUUAGGAUUGUAAAAUUCUUUCACCGGGGACGAUAAUGACGGUACCCGGAGAAGAAGCCCCGGCUAACUUCGUGCCAGCAGCCGCGGUAAUACGAAGGGGGCUAGCGUUGCUCGGAAUUACUGGGCGUAAAGGGAGCGUAGGCGGAUAGUUUAGUCAGAGGUGAAAGCCCAGGGCUCAACCUUGGAAUUGCCUUUGAUACUGGCUAUCUUGAGUACGGAAGAGGUAUGUGGAACUCCGAGUGUAGAGGUGAAAUUCGUAGAUAUUCGGAAGAACACCAGUGGCGAAGGCGACAUACUGGUCCGUUACUGACGCUGAGGCUCGAAAGCGUGGGGAGCAAACAGGAUUAGAUACCCUGGUAGUCCACGCUGUAAACGAUGAGUGCUAGUUGUCGGCAUGCAUGCAUGUCGGUGACGCAGCUACGACAUAAGUACACCUCCGCCGUCGGGGUAGGUACGGUCGGCGAAGAAGUUAAACGUUAACUAAAUUAGUUAAGUUAGUUACGGCGUGAGACGUUGCCGACGGACGACCGACGAGGGGAGGUUAGG
rnacentral:rRNA from 1 species